rnacentral:sRNA from 1 species
CUGCGCUUCCGAGUGGCGACUGCAGCGGGUCCGGUGCAGGUGAGGGGCGCGCGCCGGCCCAGCUUUGCAGCCCCCGAACGCGGCCUCGCACAGCAAUCAAAAUGGUAUUGGAAUAGUUAUACAGAUCAAUGGAAAUGAAUGAUGAGUCAAGGUUAUAUACCUACACAGAUGUAGCAGAGAUUUUUGAUCAAAGUACAAAAGCAAUUCAGAGUCACUGCAGUUGUUUUCAGUAGAGGUGUACGCUUGAGAAGUGGCUUCUUGGGUCUUCAUGCAGCCAUGGAUCUUGAUAAACCGUCUGUUUGGGGCUCAUUAAAACAGCGGACCAAGCCAUUGUUGAUCAACUUGAGCAAGAAGAAGGUGAAAAAGAACCCAAGUAAGCCCCCAGAUCUAAGGGCAAGGCAUCACUUGGACCGCCGCCUCAGCCUCUCUGUGCCUGAUCUCCUGGAGGCUGAGGUCUUGGCCCCAGAGGGCCGGCCUUACUCCGGGCCACAGUCUUCCUACACCUCGGUGCCCAGCAGUCUGUCCACUGCAGGGAUCUUUCCCAAGAGCAGCAGUAGCUCCUUGAAACAGUCUGAAGAAGAAUUGGACUGGAGCCAGGAAGAAGCCAGCCACCUCCAUGUGGUGGAAACAGACUCGGAGGAGGCCUAUGCCUCUCCUGCUGAGCAGAGGCGGGUGUCCAGCAACGGCAUCUUUGAUCUUCAGAAAACUUCCCUUGGAGGGGAUGCACCAGAAGAGCCAGAGAAGUUAUGUGGAAGCAGUGACCUGAAUGCUUUUAUGACAUCUCAGCAUUUUGAAGAACAAUCUGUACCGGGGGAAGCCAGCGAUGGCUUGAGUAACCUCCCCAGCCCUUUUGCGUACCUCCUCACCAUACACCUGAAGGAAGGCCGGAACCUGGUUGUCCGAGAUCGCUGUGGCACAAGUGAUCCUUAUGUGAAAUUUAAGCUGAAUGGGAAGACACUGUACAAAAGUAAAGUCAUAUAUAAGAACUUGAACCCAGUAUGGGAUGAGAUGGUUGUAUUGCCAAUCCAAAGCCUUGAUCAAAAGCUACGUGUGAAGGUAUAUGAUCGAGAUUUAACCACAUCUGAUUUCAUGGGUUCUGCAUUUGUCAUUCUCAGUGAUCUUGAGCUUAACAGAACAACCGAACAUAUUUUAAAACUGGAAGAUCCAAACAGUUUAGAAGAUGACAUGGGAGUGAUCGUCUUAAAUUUGAACCUAGUGGUAAAACAGGGUGAUUUCAAGAGACAUGUAAGUGGGACCUUCUAUUCUUUUGAAACCGCUCAUUUUGUUGUUUUGAAAUGGCUCAUUGCAAUUGUCCCUUGAUAGCUAGCAGAUGACUGAUAUUUUUGCAAUUAUUUUAGGGGGGUGAAACAUUUUAUGGAGUCUUAAAAUAUCUGUUUUUUAAUACAAUGCUCUUCGACUAACCGGAAAGGAAAUUUGUUAAGGAAUUAUUUCUUUUGUGUUAUUAAGAUGAUCAGGCACACAUUUGCAGCAUUUUGGUUUCUUUCUUCUUUCAAUUUUAACUAUCAAGUUUUCCAUUGGGAGUUCUUUUGGAACGAUACAAAUUUUAAUGUUCUCUAGUCUAGUACAUGCAAAUUUCUAGUUGAUACAGUACCUAUCAAAGAUGUCUGUAACAUCAGUGAAGCAUUAGACUUUGUCACAAUAUGAUUGGGACUCUUCUUUUGAGCAAAAAUGUGGAUACAAAUCAUAAUCUUAUUUUAUUUGGGGUUAUAUUUUAUAAUUCUAAGGCUAUAUUAAAACAAAAGCAUCUUUGAUGAUGACUUAUUUGAAAGGUAUUUUUAAAGCCAAUUGAAGUACCUGCUUUUUAAGAUGUGUUAUAAUUUAGCAUGUUUAUAAUCCAAUAUAAAAAUAUGAAGCCUAUUUAUAAUUAGGUCUCCAGUAAUGCUUCUUGAAUUGAGGCAGUGGGGUGGGUGAGGAGAAUAUUUUUCUUUUGACAUCACUUAUGCUUCUAGUUGUAGCUUUUUAUGAUGAAAACCAUGAUUGAUUUACUAGUAAACUCAGAGAAGAUAGCUUAAAGCAGUAGGAAAACUGUAGUGUGACUUUUCAAUUACCUUUUCAAAGAUUCAACUAAAUAUCUGCUAUUUUUAAUUUGAAUUCCUUUUAUUACUUCUUUUUAAAAAGUGGCACUGUUGACACUUGCGACAUCAAUAAAAGAGAUAUUUUAAUGUUAAAAUGUCUUAAAUUAAUAUUGAAAAUAAAAGUAUUUUUUCUCAUCCCACCUAAAGAAGGAGGGAUUUUCUUUAGCUUCUUCUUCACCUUGACAGCAUUGCUGCUGCAUCUAUGACUCUGGGUUCAGUGUCAGUGAUACAGUAGGUGACCGGUGACUUGAGCUGGGGGCUAGGUUAUAGCAUGCAAUGUAAAUAGUUAUUUGUCACGUGGUUGACAACUUGCCAACUGAUAUCGUCAAAAAAUUUCUUAUAUAUUCAAGUGGGGUUUGUAAAGGUAGUUGAUUUCUCCAUGAAAAUAGCUGCAUAUUCAAAUGACUGCCUUUGUGAAGUUUUCAAUAGCAUAUUAGAUUAUGUUUAGCAAUAAUAUUGGCACUUAAAAGAUAUUUAAUAUUGUCAAAAUUUGGAGUUUUAACAUAAUGCCAUUUUAGUUUCAAUUUUAUUUCAAAUUGCAGAACAGUUAAUACUAGACACAGCUGGGAGCUGUUUUUGUAAAAGAUCUCAAAGAGACUAUCUUUUCAGGGCUUAAGAAUAGCCAUAGUUUCCUCUUAGUGUAGGCCUGGUUUCCUCUGACUCCCCACCUCCCAUGCUGAAGACUUUGUCAGAAUGUCUGUCCGCUCACUCAUGUGCUUCCUUAUUUUCUUUUGUCUUUGUCUGGCAGAAGCCUAGUGUAUAACAUAUUGAUUAUAUAUACACACAAAUGUAUUUUUAUCCCCAUAUAUAUACACACACACAUAUAUAUUUAUCUUCUUAUAUAUACACAAAUAUAUAUUUGUCUCCAUAUAUAUGCAUAUUUAUCUCCAUAUAUACACAUAUAUUUAUCUCCAUAUAUAUACACACAUACAUAUAUAUUUAUCUCUCUCUAUAUAUAUGCAUAUAUAUUUAUAUAUACACACGUAUAUAUCUCUGUAUAUAUACAGACACACACAUAUAUAUUUAUUUCCGUAUCUGUAUUUAUUCAAGUUGGGUUUGUAAAGGUAGUUGAUUUCUCCAUGAAAAUAGCUGCAUAUUCAAAUAGCUAACUUUGUGAAUUUUUAUAUCCAUAUUUAUGGAUAUGGAGAUAUAUAUGUAUGUGUGUAUAUAUAUGGAUACAUGUAUAUAUACACAUAUAUAUACACACAUAUGGAUCCAUAUAUACAUACACAUAUAUACACAUAUACACAUAUAUGAAUACCUAUAUACAUAUACAUAUGGAGAUAAACGUGUAUAUAUAGUGUGUAUAUAUAUAUAUAUAUAUAAUGGAAAUAUAGACAACUGCCUACUCUUAUCUGUUCUGAUGGAUAGUUUUUUCCAUUUAUAUAUUUGAUCAAAGAAAAUUAAUUGAGGAAUAAUUUAUUCUGGGCCAUGUGUGGUUAUUCAGCUAACAGUGCAUAUUGGGAGCCUUGGGGUAAAAUAGAUUAUCAGAAUCUUUGUUCUUUUCAUUGAGUUUGAAUUAAUAUUUAAAGAUAUUUUUAUAUUGGGAUUUUAAGUGAGAAUAACUAGCACUUGGGACUGGAAAUCAGUAGAUUAUUUGAGUGAGAUAAUUUGUUUAUAAAUUUCCAUUUUAAUUUAAACUCUGAUGGAGAGAUUUCAGUUUAAAUUCUCAGUUUUUUACCCCUUUUUCUUCCAGUCAUCUUUGAGGUAGCCUUUGUUGCUUUAGAACCAAGCUGACAAAAAUCUCAGUAUGUGCAAAAUGUUUAUGAAUUUACUCUUGUGUGCAGGGACUUAAAUGUAUAUGAGAAUGGUGCAGGCAGAAGGGAAGACACUGGCUGGAAGGCUGACAAACAUACUCUGUGUUCUUUUUUGUGGCAAAAAAACAGGAAAAAAAUAGUAGCUAAAAUUAGGAGCUCUGUUCUCAGACUGCCUGGGUCUGAAUCCUAGAUCCACCAGUGGUCUGGUUAAUUCAAAGAAUUAUUUAACCUCUCUAAGCUAUAAUUUCCUCAUAUGUGAAACAAGGAUAAAAAGAGUGUCUGUUUUAUAGGGUUGUGAAGAUUGAAAUGAUCAAAUAUGGUGCUUGGAAUUGGGUAGAGAUGCUCAAUAUAUGGUAGUUGGUAGCAUUGUAGGAAGUGAAUAGUAAUAGUCAUUUUCCAUUAAUUUAUUUACAUGCUUUAUCUUGUGUAAUUGUUAAAAAAUAUCAAAUGCGUUCCUAUAUGUCAAAGGGCCUAAAUAGCCCUGUGUACCUAAAAGAUGGCAAUUAAUUUUGGUGGUUGGUUUGGGUGAAAAUAUCUGUCACUAUUUCAGG